rnacentral:rRNA from 1 species
UACGUAGGGUGCAAGCCGUUAAUCGGAAUUACUGGGCGUAAAGCGUGCGCAGGCGGUUUUGUAAGUCUGUCGUGAAAUCCCCGGGCUCAACCUGGGAAUUGCGAUGGAGACUGCAAGGCUAGAAUCUGGCAGAGGGGGGUAGAAUUCCACGUGUAGCAGUGAAAUGCGUAGAUAUCGAGAGGAACACCCAGUGGCGAAGGCGAGUCCCUGGGACAACACCUG